GGGGAGAGGCUGCCAGUGACUGAAGCUGAGGGGUGAGUCCUGCAGUGUCCAGGUGAACAACUGCAGAGCUGGAGCAAGUCUGGAUAUGCAGAGAGGAAACCUGUAAAACUGUGUCCAGCUGAGGGGAUCUGCUGAUGAAGAGGACCUGCUCUACAGGGGCAGGAGAAACUGUCCAGAGUUAAUACAUCCUGCCCUUCAUGCCAGAAAGCAGCAAAGUUCCUUUAUUUCGGAUGUGGAGACUAUGUGGACUAGGACCUAAAGCUUCUGCACGUGGGAAGCGCCCAGCUCUGCUGCUAUCCUGCUCCAUGCGGCCCCAGCACAAGCAGCACCGUGCUCUCCACACCAGAAUGCGGUGCCCUGCUGGACACGGUCAUGCCAGUGAGGGGGUCAAAGGAGAGCCUUCUAACUUUCAGCCUUUAUUGAUUCAUGAUCCCGCAGAAAUUUCUCUACCCAUGUGUUAAGUGUUGCGAGUUAUUUCUGCACACGCUCUGGAUGGAUAGAGAGGACUUGAAAAUGUGGAAAAUAUGUAAUACUCCUCCAAAUACCCUGCAGAUUUUAACAGCCUGCUCAUGAACCAACUCCAUUUUACUGCUGGUGCCCACAAUGGAAAGCAGAGUGCCAGCCCCUGGCAGCCCAAGCCCAACCCCUCACAACAGUGCCACUGUUGAAGCCCAGAGAAUCACUCCACGAGGACCACAGUCAGAAUGAAAGCACCAUCCUUGGACCUCAACACUCGCAGCAAUGCUAUAUAUUGAAAGCAGAACAUAGGUUUUCACUGCACAGACCCCAGGAAGCUUUUCAAAGUCCAUGCAGACCUGGGGAGUAGAUUUUUAGAUCCAUUAAAUGAUAGGCUUAAUUUCUUGGUUCACUUUUCCAACAUCCUUAAAAGUAGGCUAGCCUACAGAGAUCCACGGGCCAUUUGAGGAAAACUGCUCAGCUAGAAGGAAAGAGGAGGUGGAGUGUGGGAACUGCAAAGUAAGGGUCACUGCCAGUUUGUCGCUGAAGCAGCACAAGCCAGCAGGGAUCUGAGAUACCCAGCUCGUACUAAGUUCCUAUUAGGUACCAUUUUACUACUUCAAGAAGCCGUGUGUUAGUUACAUAGCAAAGUCCCACUUGCAGACAGGAUGGUUCCCCUGGCAGUGCUCCAGCAGGGCUCAGCACACCAACACCCCUGCACCCUCUGCAGCAAAGCAGCUUCCAGGGGAGCUUUCUCUUGAAGCUCUUCUGUGAUGCCAUGCACGCGUGAUCUGUUAAUGCUGCUCUCUGCUCUCCUACUCGUAUGUAGUAUACCUUGCAGCUCACUGAAAUAACACCCAAAAUUAUUUUUAUUGUCAAUAAAAAUGCCUUUAACGUUUUUGAAGGGUUCUGU
rnacentral:lncRNA from 1 species